rnacentral:rRNA from 1 species
GACGAACGCUGGCGGCGUGCUUAACACAUGCAAGUCGAGCGGUAAGGCCCUUCGGGUACACGAGCGGCGAACGGGUGAGUAACACGUGGGUGACCUGCCCUUAGCUCUGGGAUAAGCCUGGGAAACUGGGUCUAAUACCGGAUAUGACCUCAUGACGCAUGUUGUGGGGUGAAAGCCUUGUGCGGCUAGGGAUGGGCCCGCGGCCUAUCAGCUUGUUGGUGGGGUGAUGGCCACCAAGGCGACGACGGUAGCCGGCCUGAGAGGGCGACCGGCCACACUGGGACUGAGACACGGCCCAGACUCCUACGGGAGGCAGCAGUGGGGAAUCUUGCGCAAUGGGCGAAAGCCUGACGCAGCGACGCCGCGUGAGGGAUGACGGCCU